rnacentral:rRNA from 1 species
CACAGAGAUGGCAACCGUUGUUCGGAUUCACUGGGCUUAAAGAGCACGUAGGCGGAUCGGUAAGUUGGAUGUGAAAGGUCAUAGCUCACCUAUGAACACGCAUCUAAUACUGCCUGUCUCGAGACUGGAAGGGGAGAGUGGAACUCCUGGUGGAGCGGUGAAAUGUGUUGAUAUCAGGAGGAACGCCGGUGGCGAAAGCGACUCUCUGGUCCAGUUCUGACGCUGAGGUGCGAAAGCCAGGGGAGCAAACGGG